CUACGGGGUGCACCAGUGGGGAAUAUUGGACAAUGGGGGAAACCCUGAUCCGGCAAUGCCGCGUGUGUGAAGAAGGCCUGCGGGUUGUAAAGCACUUUCGGUUGGGAGGACUGCUUCUAGCACUAAUAUUGUUGGAAGUUGACGUUACCUUCAGAAGAAGCACCGGCUAACUCCGUGCCAGCAGCCGCGGUAAUACGGAGGGUGCAAACGCUAAUCGGAAUUACUGGGCGUAAAGCGCGCGUAGGCGGCUAGAUCAGUCGGGUGUGAAAGCCCCGGGCUUAACCUGGGAACUGCAUCCGAUACUGUCUAGCUUGAGUACAGGAGAGGAGAGUGGAAUUCCACAUGUAGCGGUGAAAUGCGUAGAUAUGUGGAGGAACACCAAUGGCGAAGGCAGCUCUCUGGCCUGAUACUGACGCUGAGGUGCGAAAGCGUGGGGAGCAAACAGGAUUAGAUACCCUUGUAGUC
rnacentral:rRNA from 1 species